GACAGAGGUGCCAAGCGUUAGGCGGAAUCACUGGGCUUAAAGCGUGUGUAGGCGGAUGUCUAAGUACCUUGUGAAAUCCCACGGCUCAACCGUGGAACUGCUUGGUAUACUGGAUGUCUUGAGCCAUCUAGGGCUACCGGAACAAAUGGUGGAGCGGUGAAAUGCGUAGAUAUCAUUUGGAACGCCAAUGGUGAAAACAGGUAGCUGGGGAUGUGACUGACGCUGAGACACGAAAGCCAGGGGAGCAAACGGG
rnacentral:rRNA from 1 species